AUUUAAAUAGCUUAAAAAGAGUGUAAUAUUGAAGAUAUUAUGGUGAUAUAUUAUAUCUUUAAAUA
rnacentral:tRNA from 1 species